rnacentral:piRNA from 1 species
UUGGAGUUACAUGUGUGACUCUCCAGUCA